UCCGGUUUAGACCGGCGGUCUCCCUAGACAUUUUAACUAAGGACAAGGGUUGCGCUCGUUGCGGGACUUAACCCAACAUCUCACGACACGAGCUGACGACAGCCAUGCACCACCUGUGCACAAGCCCCGAAGGGCUGCCGUGUUUCCACGACAUUCCUGUGCAUGUCAAGCCCUGGUAAGGUUCUUCGCGUCGCGUCGAAUUAAACAACAUGCUCCACCGCUUGUGCGGGCCCCCGUCAAUUCCUUUGAGUUUCAGCCUUGCGGCCGUACUCCCCAGGCGGGGCACUUACUGCGUUAGCGACGGCACCGGGAGGGUCGCUCCCCCCGACGCCUAGUGCCCAUCGUUUACGGCGUGGACUAC
rnacentral:misc_RNA from 1 species